rnacentral:rRNA from 1 species
CCAAUAGCGUAUAUUAAAGUUGUUGCGGUUAAAAAGCUCGUAGUUGAAUUUCGGGGUUCAUCCGUUGGUCGGGCUUUUUGGUCUGUACUGGCGUGAUGGAUUCCUACCUUCUGAAUAACCGGCAUGUCAUUAAUUUGGUGCGCCGGGGAAGCAGGACUGUUACCUUGAAAAAAUUAGAGUGCUUAAAGCAGGCUAUCGCCUGAAUACAUUAGCAUGGAAUAAUGAAAUAGGACGGCAUGGUUCUAUUUUGUUGGUUUCUAGGAUCACCGUAAUGAUUAAUAGGGAUAGUUGGGGGCAUUAGUAUUCAAUUGUCAGAGGUGAAAUUCUUGGAUUUAUUGAAGACUAACUUCUGCGAAAGCAUUUGCCAAGGAUGUUUUCAUUAAUCAAGAACGAAAGUUAGGGGAUCGAAGACGAUCAGAUACCGUCGUAGUCUUAACCAUAAACUAUGCCGACUAGGGAUCGGACGAUGUUAAUUUUUUAAUGACUCGUUCGGCGCCUUACG